GGUGAACGCUGGCGGCGUGCCUAAUACAUGCAAGUCGAGCGAACGGACGAGAAGCUUGCUUCUCUGAUGUUAGCGGCGGACGGGUGAGUAACACGUGGAUAACCUACCUAUAAGACUGGGAUAACUUCGGGAAACCGUAGCUAAUACCGGAUAAUAUUUUGAACCGCAUGGUUCAAAAGUGAAAGACGGUCUUGCUGUCACUUAUAGAUGGAUCCGCGCCGCAUUAGCUAGUUGGUAAGGUAACGGCUUACCAAGGCAACGAUGCAUAGCCGACCUGAGAGGGUGAUCGGCCACACUGGAACUGAGACACGGUCCAGACUCCUACGGGAGGCAGCAGUAGGGAAUCUUCCGCAAUGGGCGAAAGCCUGACGGAGCAACGCCGCGUGAGUGAUGAAGGUCUUCGGAUCGUAAAACUCUGUUAUUAGGGAAGAACAUAUGUGUAAGUAACUGUGCACAUCUUGACGGUACCUAAUCAGAAAGCCACGGCUAACUACGUG
rnacentral:rRNA from 1 species